GUUUAGAGGAGCUUGUGAGUGUCCCAUGACUGUUGAGAAGCAGAGGGACAAGGGGUAGUUCCUCAGUUUGCACUUGACUCGGCAGAGUCUUGGGGCACAGUCGGGAGUCCUUCACUGGGAUAAUCCAGGGAUGACAGGCAGGCAGCUGCCCUUGGAAGGAUCUCAAGCCUCAGGGACGAGAUCAGCUGAGAAGGCUCCCCUGUGUGUAGCCUGGAGCCCUCCCAGGCAUGGAGGGAUGGUCCUCAAUGCUGCCCCCCAGCAUCACUCCCUCCAAGCUCAGAAACUUACAGAUGACUUGCAGCCUGUGCAUCCUCCAUUUGGAACUGCUGGGACGUGUGCAGCAGCCUGGGGGAACGCUGCAGCCUUUGCUGAAGGAGAACGAAGCACCGUCAUGCACCGGGUGAGGAGCAGAGAUGUGGUGGCCUCUCUGCAGACAGAUCUGCUCCCCAGGGAAGGGGCCAGGAGUGACACAGAACAGCACAAUCAAAACGCAGACCUGCAGACCAUGGACGGUGUUGAGGAGAGGGGAUUCUGCAUACAUGCCCCCCUCAACAGUUAUUUUAACAACAACAACAACAACAACAACAAUGCCUGGUCUCCGCAUCAUUUCUCCCACAAACCGUGGUGGGGAAACCAUGAUGGACUGAGGCGACCGUCUGAGACUGGGCUCUGAUGCUCUUGUUUCUACUAUCUGUUAUGUGAGGAAGAAAGAGAGCUUAGACUGGGUUCUUGCUGCACGUUAAGAAAAAAAAUUUAAGUUGCCUAUUGUGGCUUGGAAGCAUCUUCAAGCAUGGGUCAAUCAACUAGCUCUUGACCUUGAAUAUGGGUACAUCCAUGCUGCGUUAGUAGCAACACAUCUAAAUUGCUGGCAGUCAGUGAGCAUAACCAGCACAGCUUGCAGCCUUCGUUCAGGUGCAUGUUUGGAAUUCUCCCACAUGGUGAAGAUGAGGAGAGAGCACGAAUGAGAAUGAGAAUGAUAACAAUAAUGUAUUAGAUUAUCUUGCUGUUGUUCUCUUAGAAAGUAGUGCUUCCUCUUUCCAAUGUGUGAAGGCUAUAUUUAGAACCACUCUUGUUUUGAAACUUGGUUUUAAAUUAAACUCAGUUUUGGCUGCGUUGGGUUCUGAUGAAAACAGUAUUAUCAUGGGAGCCAAGAAAAAUUCAGUAAAAACACAUCCAUUGAAUAUAUGAAAAGUUAUGAGUCUAUAAUGAUAUUCAAAAAGGAGAAAGUCGGAAGAAACUCCUUUGAGGCUGCUAGUACCAAUUCUUUAUUUGGAAAUUGUGUAAUUAAAGAGAAAAUACAUUUACUGUCUUUCCAGUAGGAACUUUAUUUCAGGGUAACCAAAUAGCUCCAGUUGAUGAGAUAAAAUUAUUUAACAGAAGAAUGCCAGCUAGAAGUAGAAGGAUGAUAGAAAAUCAUAAUCUAGGGGCUGACCCAGUGGUGUAGUGGUUAAGUUCACACACUGUACUUUGGUGGCCCAGGGUUUGUGGGUUUGGAUCUUGGGUGUGGACCUGCACACCGCUCAUCAAGCCAUGCUGUGGUGGGAUCCCACAUACAAAAUAGAGGAAGGUUGGCACAGAUGUUAGCUCAGGGACAAUCUUCCUUACACACAAAAAAGAAAAUCAUAAUCUUGCAAUUCCAAUGAGAAUGCAGACCCAAGAAAGGACUACCAACUUGUGUUAAAGACAUUAGGUGAAUGGUCAAUGGGACCUGGACAUUCAUAUGGAACCAAAGUAACACCACAACGAUAUGGUUCUGGUCAUCAGGAGAAAAACAUAAUUGUACAACAGAUGGAUCAGACUGCCAUCACCCUAACCUAAUGGCUGAUCUUAGCCUCAGAAAUGAUGGGACAACCAGAUAUUACACGUCUUCAGGUGUCAUGCCUUCUGAUGUCACAGCAUCACCUGAGAUGCAGUCUAACCAAAGAUAUUUACCUGGGAUCUAAUCAACCUGUAGAUGUAACUUCUGGAAAAUACAUGGGAGAGAGGAACAAGAUAAAUGAUACCACGAGGCAGGGGGGUUUUAUACGUCUAGUGGCUACAAUAAGAAGAUUCCAUGAAGGAAGAGACUAGAGGCUAGAAUAAAAGACACUGAGGGCAUGUAACAACCAGGUGCAAGGAGUGGUCUGGGACUGGUUCCUGGUUUGGACAAAAAGGCUAUAAAGGACAUUUUGGGGAACAUUUGGGGAAUUUGACUGUAUACUGGCUAUUAGAUGAUGUUAAAGAAUGAUUAUUAAUUUUAGGUAUGAUAGUGUUAUUUUUCGCCACAUAGGGAAGUGUUACUUUUUCAGAAAUGCAUUUUGAGGUAUUUAAGGAUAAUGUCAUGAUGUCUCCAAUUUAUUCUUUGCAGAUGACACACAGUGGGACGUUCUGUGUGAAAUAGACUGUGUCAUUCAUGUCCCCUAUGGAAUGGCUGAACAUACCUAGACUUUUAACCAACCACACUUUCAGAGAUUAGGAAGUAAAGUGUAAUUAUUAGAUUAUACAUGUGUAAUUAUCAGUAAUGUGCUAUCAGAUAUGAGUAAAAAUUCUGUACAUUUUCUAAAGAUUAAAGUCUUUAAAGUGAGUAAAGUGAAAAAGAGUAGCAGAAAACAGUUCAAAAUAAUGGGGCAGGCAUUACCAUAAGACAAUAAGUAAAAAAAAAUUCAAGACCUGAUAACUAACUUAAUUUUAAUAUUGCCACCAGAAUCUAAUUUCCACUGAUCACAAUUUAUGAUUUUUAUAACUUUUCUUCACUAAGUACUACUCAAAAUCUUCGUCUACUAGUAAAAAUUGAUCCACUAUAACGGAAUAGUUAGAUAAAUUAUGGUAUGUCCAUAUCUGAAAUAUUGUGAAGUCAUUAACAGAUGAGAUUUGGAUUUAAUUUAACUUUUGGAUUAAUAUUUAAUAACAUGAAAACAUGUUUACGGUAUAAUGUUAAGUGCAGGAUAUAUAAUGGUGUCACAUAUGGUCCCAAUUUUAUGUAAGUGUAAAUGAUUUAGCCCCCAGAGAAUGGCUGAGAGAGGGAUAAGGAGGUGCCAUCUAACACAGUCCCGGUAGCUUUGUGACCGCCAAAAGAAAAUAAGAGGAAAAACACGGUAGAGGAGACAGCAGAAAAUUGUAGAGCUCUCCAGGCAUGGAUUAUAUCAUUGUCUGUUUUAAACAAGAGAGUAGUUUCUCUCUCCAUAUUGGGUAGAUGUGGUAAAUUUUCUGACAUGAUAAAAAGAAACCUCUAAUUUUAUUCCCCUCCAAAACUGAAAGUUGAAGAGUUGAAGCCCUUUUGCCCUUUUCAGAAUGACUAAACUGCAUGAGCCUCCUCACCAAGUGCCGGAGCAGACGGUAGACCGGAAAAGGCAGUUCUGCUCCCAGAGACAUGAGAGAGGCACACACGGAACGUGAUGGCAGAGCCGUGUAAACCUUAUGGUCGCCCAUCACAUUGUCACGGAAUAUUGUCUCCCUCUCUGGAAGGGCGGUCAAGCCUGUGGUGCGACCAGGAGCCUGGGAUCAACCGAAGGAAAUGCGAUCCUUUCUCAUGGGCAGCAUUUCCUCAGUGAGGGGGAGAACAAGGACCUUCAUCAAGUGUCAUGUUAAUUUAAAAUUUUGAAGAAAGCUGCUUCUUCAUGGGAUGGGUAAAUAAAAUUCUAACCAUGUUAAACAUCACUUUCUCCCCUGAUUAUUGAAGUAGGAUACUCAGCAGCAGUUCAGGAGGUGGGGGUAGAGCUCCAGGAAAGGCAAGCUCUCCAGGUCUCACUGUGCAGAGGGUAAGCCAGAGCCAGAGGCAUCACAGAACCCGACGUACAGACACGCACAUGCAUGUGCAUGCAAACACACACAUGUGCACACACAUGCAAAGGAAAGCCUCUGGAUGAACACACACCAAACGUUUAAUAAUAAAUAUGUAUGAGGAACUAGGAAAGGAAUGGAAGAAAAUGAAACUUUAGCUUUUCUUACUCUAUGUAUUGCCUAAUUUUUUGUAUUUUCUUUUUACAGCAGCAAAUAUUCAUUUAUUUUAUGUAACUUUUAAAAAGAAGGCAAUAUGAACUCACACACUCCUGGUAGAAAUGUAAAAACAGUAGUUACUUGAAAACGGUUUGGCAGUUCCUUAAAAAUUAAACUUAGAGUGACCACAUGACCCAGCCAUUCCACUCCAAGGUGUUUACCUAAGAGAAAAAGAAAUACAUGUGUGUGUAAAGGCAUGGAUGUUUGGAGAAGCAUUAUUUGUAAUAGCCAAAAGCUGAAAGCAACCAAAAUGUUCACCAGAUGCGGAACGGUAACAGACUGUGGGACAGCCAGAUAAUUACUCAGCAAUAAUAAGGAACAACUAUUGAUACACACAACAACUUGGGUGAAUCUCAAAAUAGUGAUGCUGAGUGAAAGAAGCCAAAUAAAAAAGAGUACAUGGUAUAUAUUUCAAUUUAUAUAAAAUUCUAGAAAUGCAAACCAAACUACAGGGACAGAAAGCAGAUUGGUGGUUGAAUGGGGAGUAGGGGUAGGGGGAGAGGAAAGGAUUACAAAGGGGCACAGGAAGCUUCUGGGGGUGAUGGCUAUGCUCACUA
ensembl:lncRNA